CGCCCCUCCUCUCGAUCCAGAUGCGACCUCUCUCUUUCCCUCUCUCCGCCGCCGCCCCCAUCUCCCGCUCCGCCCCCAUCUCCCGCUCCGCCGCCGCCCCUACCGCUCCACCGGCCCGACCUCUUCUUCGGGAGCGACCACAGGAGCAGCUCCACCUCCCUACUCCCUCAUGCAACAGCACUCCAAACCCCCACCUCCACGUCCGGCCGCCUCUAGAGUUUCUUACCCUCGAUGCCCCGCCGCGACUUGUGUUCCGGGCAGUGAGGAUGGGAGCGGGCCGGCCAUGUCGCUUAGUGGGUGGAGCGGCUGGGGCAGUGGCGCCACCGCGCUGGGCGGAGGAGAAGGAUGAGUCGUGGUGGUCCGAGACUGGAGGGCAGCGUUGUGCCAGAUCGAGGUAGCAGUAGCCGGAUCCGUGUAGAUCAAGGUUCACCAUCGUCUGAUCCGUGAAAUUUGAGAUUGCCGUCGCAUGGGUCGCCGAUGGCCAACACGCGUAGGUCAUGGACGACCCUCCCUCGCGAGCCACGCAUUCUGGCUCACCACCUCAGGCCGACGCGGUGCCUCCCCGGCGAGGCCGCGACGGCCUCUUCCUCCUCGCGCUGUCUCCGUCCUCCUGCUCAAGCCCGUCGCCGUCGCCGUCGCAUCCUUCGUGGCCUUUCUGUGUGGGCGCACUGCUAGAGGACGAUGUUGAACAUGAAGCGGAGCCCAGCCGGAGCGGUCUGACGCGGUGCAAGAGGAAUGGUCGACGCCAUAGCGUAUCUUCGUGGCCAAGGAGCGGUGGUCGACACCAUCGAACAGGGGCCAUCGGUCGCCUGCACAUGGGCCGCAUUCUGAACUAAUGCUUUCUGCAACUGCAAUGUUCCCCUCCAUAGCGUAUCUUGUACAGGCAGAAGGAAUGCAGUUCAGUGACGGCGUCGGCUACAACUAGAUCGAUGGCCUGAAGGCUUUUACUGAGAAGAUGAAGAAUGUUAUAGAAUAGUGUCCAGCAACAAAGAGUCCUACUACUACCGGUUCGAGAGAGGCUCUACCCUCAGGAUUCGGCAAGGAAGACCUGCUGUGGAGUCCGAGCAUCGCGUGCAGCACAUCGGCGGCCUGAGAGGGCAGCAACAGCUUUCUUUUCUACGAGAAGAUGAUCGAGGGGGCCGGCGGCCGUUUUGUGGUCAUCCUCAAUGUGUCCAAGCUCGUCCCGCAUCGGUCGCAUUAUUGCCGACUCAUUGGUAAGUGUUCAACAAAUUGUCAGGUGCUGAUUUGAAUCCUUGUCCAAUUGCAAGUGGCCUGUAACACAGGGUUGAGUGCACAUUACGAUCACACUGCCAUGUAAAUUUUGUUGGUACGCAAUCAAGCUGCUACAGUUCUAUUUAUAGUUUAUUUGGCCAUUUUGUCUUUGUUGUCCAUGGUCAGAUCAUGGUUUAUAGGCUUGAUCAUUAUGAGUCAGUAAAGUGAGAAUGAGCAGCAAUGAUUUAUUUACCUAAUCAUGCCGUCAAGUUUUUAGUAUCACUAUAUUAUUUAUGCUAAUUCUUUCAACAUUACUGUCAUUGUUGAUGAUUCUGAAAGGUAAAGAGAAGUGUUAAAGAAUUCAUCUUCCGCUUUGGCAAGAGACCCCGCCGGCUCCGCCGAUGUCUACGCGGUCGUCAUCCUUGACCACCGUUUAGUGCCACUGCCCUGCGGCUUCUAUGACCUCGGUUGGGCUCCUCGUGGCUCCUUCACCCUCCAGCUGCAGGUGUGCUUCUCUGUUUGUGUAGCGCACGUACAGGUGCACCAUUGGGGCAUCAAUCAGGUGUUCAGCGGCAUGUCGAAGCAACUCUCUGGCCAGAACCACAACUAUGUGCGCUUCAGGUAAUGCAAUCUGUCAAUUGGGUUACACUAGGAGGAAGGGAUGUGCACAAGAACUUUCCUUCCUAGGUGGUUGCCGGUCUUCUGGAUUGGUUUGGCUGCUAUAAAAAAGUAGAACCAGUUCCACCAAAAUCGGUAGUUUAUUUGUAUCAACAGCUGACUUUUAUGUGCAAUCCUACGGAAUGGUGAGCAAAAGCCAUUUGGCAGGAUAACACUAAUAUUGUGAAACCUUGGCCACCCUGGAUGAAGCUGGAGCCAACACCGAGCCCCCAUAUUCGUAGCUGCAAUAACGGAUGGCCAUGUAUGAAUCUGUCAAUUCUAACUGAUUGUCUUCUAAGGAUAAAUGGAACUGUUACCUUUCCUCUCACUGGCAAACUAUUAGACCCUGCUUGUAACUAUUUUUCAUCUUGGUGUGAUUUAUAAGGGAGGCCAUGCCAUUAGUUUUUGUUAUUACAUGCCGUGAUGACCCUUAUUCAUUGAUGUAUAGUGUUGUAUGUGGUUAAUUCCCUAAUACGGUAGUCACACUUCUCCU
rnacentral:rRNA from 1 species